CUGGCAAUAAGAAAUUCUAACUUAUAGGCUAUGCUAUUUAUAACACAGGGAUUUUGUUUAGUUUGCAGUCUGACCAUAGCUGCAAGUGAAGAGUCCAUCUAAUGUGAGUUUUACAUAUCAGACCACAAGCCAUAAUAUUACCUCUGUUCAGGCCGUGAGUACACAAAUAGAUGUCUUUAUUAGACUGACUUCAAUAAUUAACUUGGAAAAUGCCCAGAUGUUGAAUUUGUUAAUAAUCCCUAUACAUGCAAGCAUUUGCAAAUGCUAAUUGGCCUGUCUUAGAGAGAUAAAUUUCUACCAUAUUACGUGGAGGUGAUUUGUACUGUAACAUUAUGAUGAAAUAGGCAAGAUGAGUGCCCGUAGUGACGUGGUCCUGGAGAUCAAGAAUCUCACUGAGGUGAACUUCUAGGACAAGCUGGAUUGGCUGGCAUAGUUUGAGGAUUCCGGACUGUAGACUCCGACGAAUCGAAGGCACCCGGAGAACAGCUACUUGGGAGACCUGCACCAUCACCUGAAACCACUGAAACCCCUAACUUGAGAAUGUGUCCACUCCUCCAAUGCCAUAUGGUACCUCUCCUCGGUCAGGCACCAAUAUGAUGAAUACUCCUUCCCCCAAAAGCAUCUAACACUACAAAAACAGAGGUAAAAGCUGAUACAAGCAUCUCAAUAGCAGCUGAGGCCAGCAGCAGCUGUGUUGCUAGCGCAGAGAGUGCAGUACACUUCCUCAGCUACAAGGUUUACAGGGGCAUGCAUAUCUAAAACUACAGGCAAUUAAUGCUUCCCUCUUAUCUAAAAUAGC